rnacentral:rRNA from 1 species
GGCGAACGGGUGAGUAACACGUAGAUGACCUGCCCUUAAGCGGGGGAUAACGGCUGGAAACGGUCGCUAAUACCGCAUGAGUCCAUUGAAUCGGGAGAUCGAUGGAGAAAACUGAGGUGCUUGAGGAGGGGUCUGCGUCCGAUUAGCUAGUUGGUGAGGUAACGGCUCACCAAGGCGACGAUCGGUAGCUGGUCUGAGAGGACGAUCAGCCACACGGGAACUGAGACACGGUCCCGACUCCUACGGGGGGCAGCAGUGAGGAAUAUUGGGCAAUGGGCGGAAGCCUGACCCAGCAACGCCGCGUGGAGGAUGAAGGCCUUCGGGUCGUAAACUCCUUUUGUCGGGGAAGAGGAAGGACGGUACCCGGCGAAUAAGUCACGGCUAACUACGUGCCAGCAGCCGCGGUAAUACGUAGGUGACAAGCGUUAUCCGGAAUUACUGGGCGUAAAGCGCACGCAGGCGGCUGCUUAAGUCUGACGUGAAAUCUCCUGGCUUAACUGGGAGGGAUCGUUGGAAACUGAGUAGCUUGA